AUUGAACGCUGGCGGCAGGCCUAACACAUGCAAGUCGAGCGGAUGAAGGGAGCUUGCUCCUGGAUUCAGCGGCGGACGGGUGAGUAAUGCCUAGGAAUCUGCCUGGUAGUGGGGGAUAACGUCCGGAAACGGGUGCUAAUACCGCAUACGUCCUGAGGGAGAAAGUGGGGGAUCUUCGGACCUCACGCUAUCAGAUGAGCCUAGGUCGGAUUAGCUAGUUGGUGGGGUAAAGGCCUACCAAGGCGACGAUCCGUAACUGGUCUGAGAGGAUGAUCAGUCACACUGGAACUGAGACACGGUCCAGACUCCUACGGGAGGCAGCAGUGGGGAAUAUUGGACAAUGGGCGAAAGCCUGAUCCAGCCAUGCCGCGUGUGUGAAGAAGGUCUUCGGAUUGUAAAGCACUUUAAGUUGGGAGGAAGGGCAGUAAGUUAAUACCUUGCUGUUUUGACGUUACCAACAGAAUAAGCACCGGCUAACUGCGU
rnacentral:rRNA from 1 species